GUGCUCACUUUGGCAGCGCAUAUUCUAAAAUUGGAACAAUACAGAAAAGAUUAGUAUGGCCCUGUGUAAGGAUGACACACACAUUCCUGAAAUGUUCCAUAGUUUU